AAGCAUAAAUUUAUGCAUUCUACCGUGAAUGCUCGCGCGCUGUUCAUGAAAUUUAAAAACAGAUGAAUAACGUUUUUAGGCAAAUAUGUUCAAGGUUAGACAAAAUCUCGCAUUCAAAUAAUGAUUCUAUAUUUAUUUGUUUGCUUUUAUUCAGUGUACUGAAGAUUUUUGUUAAAUUGUAAAGUUGUGCUCAAAUGUAUAUUGUAUCAAUAUUUAUGUCUCACUGGACUAUGUUGGUGUCUCGAUACUUACAGGGAGACAUUGAAGGUGGGGAAAUACAGAUCGACUGCUUCCUGUUAGGGUCGCGCCGCUCUGCGCCUACAAAUAGCAAGCAAAGCGUUGACAGCUUCCUUAAGCUGUCAACGCUUUGCCACCUUUGGUAUGCCACUUAUCAUAAAACCAUACUUUCGUGCAUUAAAAUUUUUAUUCUAAUCAAAAUCACUACAUAGUAUAAAACAAAGUCGCUUUCUCUGUCGCUAUAUCUGUCUGUCCCAAUGUAUGCUUAAAUCUUUAAAACUACGCAACGGAUUUGGAUGCGGUUUUUUUAAAUAGAUAGAGUGAUUGAAGAGGAAGGUUUCUAUGUAUAAUAACAUCCAUUAAAUAGUGGAGAAAUCAAUAAUAAAUUACAGUUUCCGAAGCGAAGCGAGGGCGGGUCACUAGUAUUAAUUAUAUUAUUACAAUUUGCUUGAUUUAGAUUUAUUGAUGAACAAAAGUGGCUCUUAAAAGGUUAGAAUUACAAGAAUUUUUUUAAAUAUCUUGCUAUUUUUUGUUUUAAAAGCGACAACUAAAAGCAAUAAACCUAGUGGGGAUAAAAUGUAGGCAAAAAAAAAACCGGGCCGGCGUUUUUUUAGUAGAUCAACGUCCAAGAGUCUCGCAAACAAACUAAAAAUGUUGGCGAGGUCAUAAGUAUAAGCUUUUAAUUUUGUAAGGUACUUGAGGAAAAAUAUAUACUCUGUUGAUUAUACAUUUUAAAAGUGUAUGUUUUAUUUUGGUUAAUCUGAGUAUACAUGAAGUAGAGUUUUGACGAGGUUAUAGAUAAGUAUUCCAAACGUCGGAAAUAAAAGUGUUACAAUAAAAAUGUGAGAUUAAACCGUAA